UUCGGGGGUACACGAGCGGCGAACGGGUGAGUAACACGUGAGCAAUCUGCCCUUCACACGGGGAUAACCACCGGAAACGGUGGCUAAUACCCGAUACGACCACUUCAGGCAUCUGAUGGUGGUGGAAAGUUCCGGCGGUGGAGGAUGAGCUCGCGGCCUAUCAGCUUGUUGGUGGGGUAAUGGCCUACCAAGGCAACGACGGGUAGCCGGCCUGAGAGGGUGACCGGCCACACUGGGACUGAGACACGGCCCAGACUCCUACGGGAGGCAGCAGUGGGGAAUAUUGGACAAUGGGCGAAAGCCUGAUCCAGCAACGCCGCGUGAGGGAUGACGGCCUUCGGGUUGUAAACCUCUUUCAGCAGGGACGAAGCGCAAGUGACGGUACCUGCAGAAGAAGCACCGGCCAACUACGUGCCAGCAGCCGCGGUAAUACGUAGGGUGCGAGCGUUGUCCGGGAUUAUUGGGCGUAAAGGGCUCGUAGGCGGUUUGUCGCGUCGGGAGUGAAAACUCAGGGCUUAACCCUGAGCCUGCUUCCGAUACGGGCAGACUAGAGGUAUGCAGGGGAGAACGGAAUUCCUGGUGUAGCGGUGAAAUGCGCAGAUAUCAGGAGGAACACCGGUGGCGAAGGCGGUU
rnacentral:rRNA from 1 species